CGCGGGGUGGAGCAGUCCUGGUAGCUCGUCGGGCUCAUAACCCGAAGGUCGCAGGUUCAAAUCCUGCCCCCGCCACCA
rnacentral:tRNA from 1 species